rnacentral:misc_RNA from 1 species
ACUCUCACAGGAUGGCCCAAUCGCACAUGCUAGUGCCAACAGUCAGCCCGCCGCACAGCUCUCAUAUAGACGCACACGCACGCAACAGCAACAGGAAAACCCUAAGCCCCGUCGCUCCCUCCGCCGGCCGCCGCCAGUGACCGGUCCUCCAGUGAUGUCUCCACCACUCGACGCAGAAGGUGAGCUCCCCGAACCUUGGGAUCAUGGAGGCCAUUACAACAUACAGGUUACUCUUCAGUUCUUCACUCUUCAUCUUCCACAUGCCCUUCGCCCUUCCCUUGCUUGGAAGUUGAACCCUAGUCAGCUACUCGUCUCUCGCCACAAUAAAUGACGCGACAGGCCGAGGCGUCGCCCACGUGUUGCUUUGAUUCUCAGGUUUCCAGUUCUAUAAAUCCAGCCCCUUCUAUCUUAGCCUGGCAGACCGAGGUCCUAUGAGUCGAUAUGGUCGGAGACAUCCUCUAAUGGCAUCCAAGUCUAGGGCUAGUGAAACCAAUCCUUAUCCUUGUCCUAAUCCUAAUCCUAAUACUAACGUUGGUGCGUCUGGUGGUGAACUAGGUGUGAGUGGUAGUGUGGCUGCUGGUGAACUGGAUGUGGAUGUGGGUCGUGUGGCUGCUGGUGAACCACCACAAACACCAUAUGUCGUCCAUGGGGGUGAACUGGGUGAUGGUGAUUGUGCA